rnacentral:lncRNA from 1 species
UAGGAGACUUUUAACAAUUUUAUGAGAAUAUUUGCUGUUUUUAAAAGACAUUUUAAUUAUUUUUGAAAAUGUGACUCCCGUUGAUAAUACAUGUAGACCCCAUACACGUGGACGACACGCGUGGUUGAUUCGUCAAUAUGGAUAAAUUAUGAGAGCAUUUUGACCAGUGACUAUAGCAUUAUACAAAUAUAUAUUCAUUGAUAACACAGUUUUUUUUUCAACAUAUACAAAGACACAUCAAUUAUAAAUGAGUCUUGCCCGUGUGAGUAAACAAGUGCGUAAUUUAGAGCAGAGACUUCACCAAGCGCCUCUUUUGCGCACAAUAUCUG